AGUGAACGCUGGCGGUAGGCCUAACACAUGCAAGUCGAACGGCAGCACAGUAAGAGCUUGCUCUUACGGGUGGCGAGUGGCGGACGGGUGAGGAAUACAUCGGAAUCUACUUUUUCGUGGGGGAUAACGUAGGGAAACUUACGCUAAUACCGCAUACGACCUACGGGUGAAAGCAGGAGAUCUUCGGACCUUGCGCGAUUGAAUGAGCCGAUGUCGGAUUAGCUAGUUGGCGGGGUAAAGGCCCACCAAGGCGACGAUCCGUAGCUGGUCUGAGAGGAUGAUCGGCCACACUGGAACUGAGACACGGUCCGGACUCCUACGGGAGGCAGCAGUGGGGAAUAUUGGACAAUGGGCGCAAGCCUGAUCCAGCCAUACCGCGUGGGUGAAGAAGGCCUUCGGGUUGUAAAGCCCUUUUGUUGGGAAAGAAAAGCAGCAGGUUAAUACCCCGCUGUUCUGACGGUACCCAAAGAAUAAGCACCGGCUAACUUCGUG
rnacentral:rRNA from 1 species